AACCAUUCUCACCUGCGGCUAGACCUGCGGAAGGAUCAUUAAAAAACUUUGCCCGCGGACCCUGGGUCCAAGGCGCAAAACCCACACUAUGUGCACUGUUAUCGUUCUUUUGGCAGGGGCUUGGGGUAUCUUCCAACUUGGGGAACCUCAACUUCUCGUCUAGCUCUAUCCACCUCGGACAGCUGGACAUGAGAAGCAGUUACUCUGCCAAGUGACCCUUAAAAACACGCUUUUUGUCUG
rnacentral:misc_RNA from 1 species